UGAUAAUAAUAAUAAUAAUAAUCGCUUAACUUCUACCAUGCCUAGUUGCAAUGCAAAGGUUUCUAAAUCUAUUAGAUACCUCCAGGGAACACUUAGAAACCUGGCGCUAGAUGAUGCUCUUAUUUCUUAUUAGUCCAUUUGUCAAGCUUGGUUGAUUCUUUACUGCCUAGCCUGUUAGAUAUGUUGUAUGUAUGUCAACUGUGGUCUUAUUAUCUGCAGCUGGUAGUUGUUUUUUCAAAUGUCGUGGUAGAAGUCGGUUAUACAUCUCUGUAUCAGUUUCUCUAAUCUCUAUGGCAUUUAUAUUGUAGCAUCCGCUUGGUUGCAUCCGCUUGGUUGAGUAAUUUCCUGGUAAAGGAGGCUUAUAAGUGAAUUCCCCAGACAGAUUAAUAAGUGGCCGGGAGGUAAGGGUUGCCAUAGUAAACUAGUUGUUUAUUUUAGUACAUGGUAGAAGUUGCUUAUCAACUCUGUGUCUGCUUAUCAUGAUAUCUCGGGCCUACAGCUGAGGUAUCAUAAAUGCCACAGAUACCUCCUCCACCUCGCUGUAUAACCUUUACUUACCGGUACUUUGUAUUAACAGGAGUUUAUGCUUGUUCAAAGUAUCAAUUCUACUAAUAUUGAAGACAUUUUGGAGCUUAUCAAUUAAAGGUAAUUGUGAAGGCUUAAUGGUCAAGUGUCUUGAUAAAGAUGCAUCAUAUGAAAUAUCAAAGAGAUCCCACAACUGGCUAAAACUUAAGAAGGAUUAUCUGGAGGGUGUGGGCAACACACUAGAUCUCGUUGUGGUUGGUGAGUUUCAUUAAAUGGGAAAGAGAACAGGAAAGUAUGGCGGGUUUCUACUAGCUUGCUACGACCAGGAAAACGAAGAAUAUCAAGUCAUUUGUAAGCAGCAGGACUGCAAUAAUUAUACCAAUGGCCAGGAUGGCAUCCAUGGAAUAUAUUGCAGCUUGGUUGAGGAGCCGACUAAUGGGCAU
rnacentral:lncRNA from 1 species